GUGCUCACUUCAGCAGCACAUAUACUAUAUUGGAAGGACACAAAGAAGAUUAGCAUAGCCCUUGUGAAAGGAUGACAUGCAAAUUCAUGAAGUGUCCUAUAUAUUU